rnacentral:piRNA from 1 species
UUUGCCGUUACAAAUCCCAAACCCAUGACA